GGCCUACGGGACGCAGCAGUGGGGAAUAUUGCACAAUGGGGGGAACCCUGAUGCAGCAAUGCCGCGUGGGUGAAGAAGCACUCCGGUGCGUAAAGCCCUGUCAGCAGGGAAGAAAAUGACGGUACCUGAGUAAGAAGCUCCGGCUAAAUACGUGCCAGCAGCCGCGGUAAUACGUAUGGAGCAAGCGUUAUCCGGAUUUACUGGGCGUAAAGGGAGCGUAGGCGGCCUGCCAAGUCUGAUGUGAAAUACCGGGGCUCAACCCCGGGGCUGCAUUGGAAACUGGCAGGCUGGAGUGCCGGAGAGGG
rnacentral:rRNA from 1 species